ensembl:miRNA
UAGAUUAGUGCAAAAGUAAUUGCAGUUUUUACCAUCAAAAGUAAUGGCAAGAACCGUAAUUACUUUCGCACCAACCUAAUA